UACAGAGGUCUCAAGCGUUGUUCGGAUUCAUUGGGCGUAAAGGGUGCGUAGGUGGCGUGGUAAGUCGGGUGUGAAAUUUCGGAGCUUAACUCCGAAACUGCAUUCGAUACUGCCUUGCUCGAGUACUGGAGAGGAGACUGGAAUUUACGGUGUAGCAGUGAAAUGCGUAGAUAUCGUAAGGAAGACCAGUGGCGAAGGCGAGUCUCUGGACAGUUACUGAC
rnacentral:rRNA from 1 species